rnacentral:rRNA from 1 species
UACGGGGGGAGCAAGCGUUGUUCGGAUUUACUGGGCGUAAAGGGCGCGUAGGCGGCCACCGCAAGUCGACUGUGAAAUCUCCGGGCUUAACCCGGAAAGGUCAGCCGAUACUGCGGGGCUAGAGUGCAGAAGGGGCAACUGGAAUUCUCGGUGUAGCGGUGAAAUGCGUAGAUAUCAGGAGGAACACCGGUGGCGAAGGCGGGUCUCUGGGCCGUAACUGACGCUGAGGAGCGAAAGCAUGGGGAGCGAACAGG